ensembl:ncRNA lncRNA:CR44495 long non-coding RNA:CR44495
AUGCAAUCCGUAUCGACUUCAAUAUUAAAUGUUCUCCACUCACACCUGCGGGAUCAGCGACUGAGACAGCUGAUGUGCCAGAGAGAGACAACAAACCGCUGCCGACUCCGCUGGGAAUCCGGCAACACACAAAUGCCAUUAACUAGUUGGUGGCACGACAACUUUUCACAUUUUGGCCGCUGGGCAUCCAUCCACAGGACACCUCAGUUCAGCUCAAUUCGGCCGAGGAUGCCGCUGGAAUGCCAUAAACACCAAGCGGUAGUCGGGAGUCGUCAUCAUCAUUACCAUCGUGAGCGGCAUCCUGUGGGAAGAAGGAGUACCGGCCGGGGCAUCAUCCUUAUGCUAUUAUCAACAACAUCAGCCAUUGUCAAAGUUUGGCGCAUUUAUUUGGUUGCUCAAUCAGCGCCCAAAGCGAUUUUGCCGUCAAUGUUCCCCACCAAUUCCAGUGCCCCCACUGGGCCACGAGCUCUGGCUCAUUUUUAUCAAAGAGCCGGCGGAGUCCCACUUCCACCUGCGUCGCUGCCGCCAUUUACAAUAAUUACCAUCAAAUGAACAAACAAACUUUUGUGCCGCUCUUGUCCUGGACUAGUGACAAAGGCGAAAGCCGAGCUAAAAGCUCCACUGACCCCGCGAGCUCCGCCUUUUUAUAGCCAACCACCCACUCGAGCAGCAUCUCACCCAAAAGACUAAACCUCAUUUACGUGCUCUAAUAACACUAAACAGCAUAGUAAAAUCUGUUUUUGUUCGGUUCAAUAGGUUCAUAAAU